rnacentral:rRNA from 1 species
GGAUUAGAUACCCUGGUAGUCCACGCCCUAAACGAUGAGAACUAGAUGUUGGGAAAAUUAUAUUUUUUUAGUAUCGUAGCUAACGCGAUAAGUUCUCCGCCUGGGGAGUACGACCGCAAGGUUAAAACUCAAAUGAAUUGACGGGGGCCCGCACAAGCGGUGGAGCAUGUGGUUUAAUUCGAUGCAACGCGAAGAACCUUACCUGGCAUUGACAUCCUUAGAACUCCACAGAAAUGAGGAGGUACCUUUGGGAACUGAGAGACAGGUGCUGCAUGGCUGUCGUCAGCUCGUGCUG